GGUACACGGGCUCCUGUACCGGUACAAGAGCCAACCCGAGAGCAGCUAAACCAGUGUGCGCUGGUUGUACCGGUACAGCGUGCUGGUUGUACCGGUACAGCAAGCAGAGAAAUCUGCUGUUUUGCAGAUUUCUUCGCUAUAAGCUGCCCUUGCGUCGCACGGAGUCCGUUUUGCGUCUAUUUGACGCCAACGCGACUCGGA
rnacentral:lncRNA from 1 species